UAAAACUUACUUGUUUUUUAUUAAAUUUAUCGUCGUGCUUAUUGAUAAUUUAUAACAUGUAAAAUUUCUGUAACAUUAUUUUUUAAAUAAUGCAAAAGAAUUCAGAAAAUUUCAUAAAAACAUGAUAAUUCGCAAAGAACAAUGUUCACACGUGACAAAUUGGCGUUGUAUUAGAAUUUUUGACGCGAAUGUCAGUAGUAUUUGAAGUGGGGAUAUAAAGCACAAUGUACAGCAUGUUUCGAAUUCAUUAUGUAUUUAUAAAGGGCUGUCAAUUCAACGGAUGGUCCGGGUAAAUUUAAAUUUCGCAAAGUUCAGCGAUUAUUUGGCAUCCCUCAUUUUAUUGCGAUCUGAUUUGUUUUAAAGGAAGAGAAAACAAAAACAAAAGAAGAUGAUGAUUUGUAUUAUUCUUACUUAUCUUCUUCGAGGGAUAAUGUGAACUCUUUCCAGCUGAUGAAUAGCCGACAAAUGAAUUGCGACUGAAUUUCUUCUUAUUAUAUUAACAGAGUUUUCACGUUUUUGCUCUCUUUAACCUUCUAUCGAGACAGGCGUUGAAUUAAUGAUCAUUAAUUGACCAAUUUCUCUAAGCUUAUAACUUCGAAUUAAUGUUUACAUAAAAAAUAUUAUUAAUCUAUUUAAAUGUAAAUAUUUAGACUUAUAUAGAUUUAAUAUUGCUAUAUAUACGAUAAUUAGCCUACUCACGCUGAAAUUUGUAUCAAUAUCUGGCUUGCUCACUGAUUAGGAUCAGUUUAUUAAUUAUUAAAUCGAUAUAUCGUUUGUUGCAUCUAAAAUCGAUAUACUAAUAUUAAUUUAUACAUGCUACAAUUUACAUUAUGAAACCUAAAAAUGAAACCUAAAUGAAACCUAAAAACGCAAUGUUUCAUCGUGUGUAGGCCAUUAUAUGAGAACUACCUUGAUUGUGAGGUUAUCAUUUAAUCAUCAAGAGGCCUUUCAUGUAUGAAUAAUUAUUUUAAAUCCAUCACAGAUUAUAACAAUUUAUUUAAUUGAUAAUAAAGAUAUUUAAAAUUAUAUAUA